ACUACGGGUGGCAGCAGUGAGGAAUAUUGUUCAAUGGACGAGAGUCUGAACCAGCCAAGUAGCGUGAAGGAUGACUGCCCUAUGGGUUGUAAACUUCUUUUAUAUGGGAAUAAAAUGUUCCACGUGUGGGAUUUUGUAUGUACCAUAUGAAUAAGGAUCGGCUAACUCCGUGCCAGCAGCCACGGUAAUACGGAGGAUCCGAGCGUUAUCCGGAUUUAUUGGGUUUAAAGGGAGCGUAGAUGGGUUGUUAAGUCAGUUGUGAAAGUUUGCGGCUCAACCGUAAAAUUGCAAUUGAUACUGGCAGCCUUGAGUACAGUUGAGGUAGGCGGAAUUCGUGGUGUAGCGGUGAAAUGCUUAGAUAUCACGAAGAACUCCGAUUGCGAAGGCAGCCUACUAAACUGCCACUGACAUUGAUGCUCGAAAGUGUGGGUAUCAAACAGGAUUAGAUACCCCGGUAGUC
rnacentral:rRNA from 1 species